UGUCACAACCGGAAGUCUUCUAGAGGCGGGGCCAAGCGGAGAGGAGCCGCGGAGCGUGCGCCUUGCGUCGCUGGUUCCGCUCGCCAUGGCUGCGUUAGGCGGUAGUGCCCGGGAGCACGAGGAGCCUGUAUUGUUCCGCAGAGGUACCGGGCAGAGCGAUGAUUCUGAUAUAUGGGAUGAUACAGCAUUGAUAAAAGCAUAUGACAAAGCUGUGGCAUCAUUUAAGAACGCUUUAAAGAAUGGUGAAAUUUCUGAAACUUCAGACAAACAAAAAAGUGCUGGACCAAAAAGAAAAAAUAUUAAGAACAGAAACAAGAAAAAAACUAACCCAGCCCCAUUGAAGCAGUGGAAAGUUGGUGAUGCUUGUUGUGCAGUUUGGUCUGAAGAUGGCAACAUAUAUCCAGCUACUAUUGCAUCAACUGAUCAGAAGAGAGGGACAUGUGUUGUAGUUUACACUGGCUAUGGAAAUAAAGAAGAACAGAAUUUGUCAGAUCUUCUUCUUCCAAACAAUGAAGGAGUUCAUGAUGAGGAACCUAUUAAUGAAAAUGAAAAUGAAAGUCAAAGCCAGUAUUCAACAGAUGAAAGUGAAAAAUCCUCUAGAUCACCUGGAAGCAAACAGAAUCGUAUCAAAUCCAAAGCUGCUCAUUGGAAUUCUUAUUUCCCUCCUCCACCGCCACUACCCCUCCCAGUGCCAGGGCUGGGCAAGCCUGGACUGAAAUUCAGUGGCCCACCACCCUUCCUCACAGGCUGGCCCCCACCAUUUCCUUCAGGACCACCAUUGAUUCCCCCACCACCUCCCAUGUCUCCCGAUUCUCCUGAAGAUGCUGAUGCUUUGGGAAGUAUGUUAAUAGCCUGGUACAUGAGUGGCUAUCAUACUGGUUACUAUCUGGGCUUAAAACAACAUCAAAAAGAAGGAAGGCACCAGCACUUCAAUUAAAGAUGGGAGAUGCAUCUUAGAAGAAAAGAUAUGAACCUAAUACUAGAUGACAGCCGCAACUAUUAAGUACAAAUCUCUCCCAAGGAGAGUGGUUAUUUUAUCCUGUCCUGGUUACGAUGAAAAAAGGUUUUUCCCCCCUCUAAGAAGACUUGACUGGAGAGCGCAAUCCAUUGUAUACUUGUUGAAUAUGUUCUAAUGUACACAAGUUUUUAAUGUCUUAAUCUGCAAAGUAUAUUUAGAAAAAAGUAUGUUUGAAUAGUUGAAUAAAAAUGUGAGAAUGUGAAAGUCCUAAAUGUUGAAAACUUAGUCAACUUUAUUAUUGAUGUGAAUAAAGUUUUACUUUUCCAAUUUUGAUUUUUUUUAAAACAUGUCACUAUAUUUACUUAAAUCUAAAGCCCAUAUUUUGAGUACAAAUUGUACUUAGAUUAUGAAAGUUAAAGUCUAAGUAUAGUGUUUUCUGUUCCAGCAUUCUGUUGAAAUUAUUUAACUUCUGAAUACUUUCUAAAAUAUUUUUAGAUUUUUAAAAUUCUGUUUAUUUUAUAUAUGGUUGAGGACUUGCCAUAUAUGCAAGGAACUGUCUUGGGUUUUGAGAAUACAAAUAUGAACAGUACAGGGACACAGAUAAAUAAUUUUUUAAAUGCAAGGAGGCAUACAUUGGUAAACUGCAAAGUGCUUUGAAGCAUUAAAGCAGGAACAGAGAGAAUUUGUGGAUAAUCAGAGAAGACAUUAAGGAAGGGGUGUCACCUAAGCUGGGUUUUAAAAGACUGCUAAUAUUGUUAGCAUAGACCUGAAGUGAACUACAGCCAAGAAAUAUAAGCAUUCUAUUCUUGCCAAGUAAAAGUAAAUUUUACUUACAGCACUUUUUUCAAAAACUUUAAUGGAUUUCAUUAUUCAUACUUAUUCCCACCUGAUACCAUAAAUUUAAUUCCAUCACUGGAUCAUCCAAGAAAUUUACAACCAGUUCACUGAUGGGAGUGGAAUUCUGGGCACAGGAAAGAACACAUCAAAGUCAAAAAUGCUAAAUAAACUUAUAUGGUAUCAAGUCAAUAAAAUAGUGGUGUUUAAUGCUGGCAUGGCAAUUACAUUUUAGAAAUCAAUAUCCUCUUAGUCAAUGAAAAAAAUAAGUCAUCUUUUUACUGGACAUAGGUAAAAUUAAUUGAGGCAGUGAGAAAAAUGUGCAUCACAUAAUACACACAACCAGAAUUGAUGUGACAUCUGGAGAAGAGGUAUAUAUAGAGCAGGUUAGGCUUGGGUCUCUACUUUCUGAGCAACUUAGGUUGCUCAUUUUUAUUGUUUAAGGAAACUUCAAGGUUUCAUAAAUCAAGCCCAAGUAGAUUAAAUGCCAAGGCUAUGACAAUUCAGAGAUUUUGGAAGGACUAUUAUAGUGAAAAUACCAGCAGUGCUUAAAUCUUACCAUAUAAGUAUUGCUUUUCCAUUAAAUGUCAAUUGUUAAGACAAUUAUCAAAUAAUGUCCUGCACAUUUCACUAAGAAGCUAUAUAAAUUAAAUUUUUUUUUGAGGGGCAAUGGGGGUUAAGUGACUUGCCCAGGGUCACACAGUAAGUGUCAAGUGUCUGAGGCUGGAUUUGAACUCAGGUACUCCGGAAUCCAGGGCCAGUACUCUAUCCACUGCACCACCUAGCUGCCCUAUAUAAAUUAAUAUUAAAAGUUUAAAGGCUGUCUGGUACAAGAAUAGUAUGUUUUUUAAAAUAAUUACAAUUGCUAUCGCUAUAUACACAAGUUUUAAGUAAGCAUAUAUAUUAUUAUACCAGUAAAGGAUUGACCAUGUGUCUCCCUAACUUCUCAUGGUCUCAGGCUGUGUGGUAGAGAAAGCAGGGAGAGAGUCUUAACAUGACAGUUAGUGGGAGCAGGAGAAAAGCCCCAAGCAACCUAUUGCUGUCUCCCAGAGAGAUAGCAUGUGAUUUCAAGGAGAUGAACAGCCACAGAAGACCCAAAAGCCUCUAAUGGCAUCUUCCAAGGGUUUUUAUCCUCUUUUGAUAGAGACAGGUCAUUAUACAUUGAUCAAAGCUAAUUGGUUAGCAUCAUUCAAUUCCAUGUCUGGAAGUUAGUCUACAUUAAAAUGAACUCUACAGAUGACACCAAGGGAAAGAAUGCAAAAGACUCUCAAUGAAAUUGCUCCAGGCAAAGUCCAUGAUUUAGGUGUGGUUUAAUCCCCUCACUGAACUAGCGUCUCCAUUUCUUUUGUUCCCUUGGAUUUGUCCCAGAUCUGGACUUUCUGGAGUAAGGGGGCGGGGAAAGAUGUGAGAAACUGAUCUCUAGGUUCCUCGAAGAAAUCCAUUAUUAAUCCAUUAUUAAUUAUUUUCUCACAAUAGCUUAGUCCACUGGUUACCUACAGAUAAAUACAUUAAGAUUUCUCUGGGGGUGGGGUGCAGCUAGGUGGCGCAGUGGAUAGAGCACCAGCCCUGGAGUCAGGAGUACCUGAGUUCAAAUCUGACCUCAGACACUUGAUACUUACUAGCUGUGUGAC